ensembl:snoRNA small nucleolar RNA SNORD101
GCUUGUAUGAUGAUUUUCUUUCUUUAGUCGGAUACCCCUUCACUCUUAAUCAUGAGUGAGACUUUUAAAUCUGACAAGC